UACAGAGGUCCCAAGCGUUGUUCGGAUUCAUUGGGCGUAAAGGGUGCGUAGGCGGUUUGUCGCGUCGGGAGUGAAAUCCACUGGCUUAACUGGUGGCUUGCUUUCGAUACGGGCAGACUGGAGGUAUGCAGGGGAGAACGGAAUUCCUGGUGUAGCGGUGAAAUGCGCAGAUAUCAGGAGGAACACCGGUGGCGAAGGCGGUUCUCUGGGCAUGUCCUGACGCUGAGGAGCGAAAGUGUGGGGAGCGAACAGG
rnacentral:rRNA from 1 species